UGCGGAGGGUGCAAGCGUUAAUCGGAAUUACUGGGCGUAAAGCGCACGCAGGCGGUUGGAUAAGUUAGAUGUGAAAGCCCCGGGCUCAAACUGGGAAUUGCAUUUAAAACUGUACAGCUAGAGUCUUGUAGAGGGGGGUAGAAUUCCAGGUGUAGCGGUGAAAAGCGUAGAGAUCUGGAGGAAUACCGGUGGCGAAGGCGGCCCCCUGGACAAAGACUGACGAUCAGGUGCGAAAGAGUGGGGAGAAAACAGG
rnacentral:rRNA from 1 species